rnacentral:lncRNA from 1 species
CUGCCCGUGGCUUUUCUCUAAAAGCCCAUAUUUCAGUUUCAGAAGCUGAACCUGGGAAACACUAUGAAUUGCAGCCAGUGCUGAGCUACCAGCCACCUUUGGAGGGAGCUUGCAGUGGGCAAAGAGGACAAGAACAGAACAUCUAUGAAGACCAACCUCUAAUUUUCCAGGUCCUUUCCCAUGUUGGAUAUCUCUAUUACUGAAUCACUUCUGCUGCUCAAGCACCCAUCGCUCUGUUCUAAUAUCUUUGACUGGAGAAAGCUGGUGUUGGGUCUCCAGGCUGUCCCGGCAACUCUUAAUUACUCUGGACAACAAAAUAUAAGAAAGCUGCUGUUACCUGAACCCUGGCAUCUCAGAGAGCUUUGUUGA